rnacentral:rRNA from 1 species
AUUCCAGCUCUGUAAGCGUAUACCAAAGUUGUUGCAGUUAAAACGCUCGUAGUCGGACGUUGGCGGGCGCCUCGAGUCGGCCUCACGGUCGAUCUUGUUGGCGACCGCCUUUGUGGAGGGGGGCUUAGGUCGGUGCCUUAUUGUCAUCCCUUUGUCGCUGCCACCGUUUACUGUGAAAAAAUUAGAGUGUUCAAAGCGGGCGUUUGCCAUGAAUACAUUAGCAUGGAAUAAUAGAAUAGGACCUGGUCCUGUUUUGUUGGUUUGUGAGUAUCAGGUAAUGAUUAAGAGGGACGGUUGGGGGCAUUUGUAUUCCGGCGUCAGAGGUGAAAUUCUUGGAUUGCCGGAAGACAAACAGCUGCGAAAGCGUCUGCCAAGGACGUUUUCAUCG